rnacentral:rRNA from 1 species
GCCGCGUGCAGGAAGACAGCCCUCUGGGUCGUAAACUGCUUUUAUUCGGGAAUAAACCUCAUUACGUGUAAUGAGCUGAAUGUACCGAAGGAAUAAGGAUCGGCUAACUCCGUGCCAGCAGCCGCGGUAAUACGGAGGAUCCAAGCGUUAUCCGGAUUUAUUGGGUUUAAAGGGUGCGUAGGCGGCUUUUUAAGUCAGGGGUGAAAGACGGUAGCUCAACUAUCGCAGUGCCCUUGAUACUGAAGAGCUUGAAUGGACUAGAGGUAGGCGGAAUGUGACAAGUAGCGGUGAAAUGCAUAGAUAUGUCACAGAACACCGAUUGCGAAGGCAGCUUACUAUGGUUUUAUUGACGCUGAGGCACGAAAGCGUGGGGAUCAAACAGGAUUAGAUACCCUGGUAGUCCACGCCCUAAACGAUGAAUACUCGCUGUUAGCGAUACACAGUUAGCGGCUAAGCGAAAGCGUUAAGUAUUCCACCUGGGGAGUACGGUCGCAAGAUUGAAACUCAAAGGAAUUGACGG